UGGGGAAUAUUGCACAAUGGGCGCAAGCCUGAUGCAGCCAUGCCGCGUGUGUGAAGAAGGCCUUCGGGUUGUAAAGCACUUUCAGCGGGGAGGAAGGCGGUGAGGUUAAUAACCUCAUCGAUUGACGUUACCCGCAGAAGAAGCACCGGCUAACUCCGUGCCAGCAGCCGCGGUAAUACGGAGGGUGCAAGCGUUAAUCGGAAUUACUGGGCGUAAAGCGCACGCAGGCGGCCUGUCAAGUCGGAUGUGAAAUCCCCGGGCUCAACCUGGGAACUGCAUUCGAAGCUGGCAGGCUAGAGUCUUGUAGAGGGGGGUAGAAUUCCAGGUGUAGCGGUGAAAUGCGUAGAGAUCUGGAGGAAUACCGGUGGCGAAGGCGGCCCCCUGGACAAAGACUGACGCUCAGGUGCGAAAGCGUGGGGAGCAAACAGGAUUAGAUACCUUGGUAGUCCACGCCGUAAACGAUGUCGAUUUGGAGGUUGUGCCCUUGAGGCGUGGCUUCCGGAGCUAACGCGUUAAAUCGACCGCCUGGGGAGUACGGCCGCAAGGUUA
rnacentral:rRNA from 1 species